rnacentral:miRNA from 1 species
CUUCCAUAUCAAAUCAUCUCU